rnacentral:rRNA from 1 species
AUACGGAGGGAGCGAGCGUUAAUCGGAAUUACUGGGCGUAAAGCGCGCGUAGGCGGCUUUGUAAGUCGGAUGUGAAAGCCCUGGGCUUAACCUGGGAAUGGCAUUCGAUACUGCAGAGCUAGAGUAUGGUAGAGGGAAGUGGAAUUUCCGGUGUAGCGGUGAAAUGCGUAGAUAUCGGAAGGAACACCAGUGGCGAAGGCGACUUCCUGGGCCAAUACUGACGCUGAGGUGCGAAAGCGUGGGGAGCAAACAGGAUUAGAUACCCGAGUAGUCC